rnacentral:rRNA from 1 species
AUGGGUCGAACAAACUUUAAUCCAAUUUGGUGUAAGAUUUGGAAGUUAUCUUGUCCAGAGAAGGUGAAUUUUUUUAUUUGGCGGACGCUGCAUGGUACUCUUGAAGGAAAUAUGCCCUAGAGGCAAUAAUACAUGAAAGUUUCACCUUUAUGCCCUUUUUGUGCUUCUAGUUUAGAAGACACAAUGCAUCUGUUGUUUUAGUGCAGAAGGAAAAAAGAGGUCUGGAGAAGGCUUGGCUUAGACAAGAUCAUUGCUCAAGCUUGUGAAGUUGAUCGUGCGGGAGAGGCAGUCCUCUUUUUUUUUCACAUGUCUGACCAAGAUUUAUCUAUUAUGGGGUCCCAGAAUAUCCGGGAGAUGAUUGCCAUUACGUCUUGGUAUUUGUGGUGGGAAAGA